rnacentral:tRNA from 1 species
UCCUUGGUGGUCCAGUGGUUAGGACUCUGUGCUUCCACUGCAGGGGGCCUGGGUUCAGUCCCCGGUGGGGGAA